ensembl:lncRNA
AAUUUUUCUAUCUUUUAUUGCAAAACACAAACAAAUAUAAACAAUAAAGCUAAUAAACAACAUCUGUUCAAAUUGUUCUAAAAGUUUUUCCUGUCACAUUCAUUAUUUUUACUUUGUUUCUUCUCUUGCUGUUGUCGUGUUUGCAGUUUUAAAAUAUCAAAAUAAACGUUUAAAUUUCAUCUGUUUAUUAACACUUUCUGACAAACUGAUGGGCUUUAACAGGACAAGGCAGUGAAUGCUUUAAAAUAUAAACUGAAUGAUUUUUGAUGCCCAGUUUCAUUUACGGUCAUCUUUAUGAUGUGUCUUUAUUUUAGCGUUUAUUUUCUCUACAGAACAACAGAACUAAAUACUGUAAGUGCUACUCGCCGACAAAAGUGCUGGUGUUUGAUUCACCGUGAGACUGCAUAUGUGAAAAUGUUCCAAGAGAAACUGUGGAGAAGUGAAGUUUAUAAAAUAAAAAGCAAACUAACAGAGAGAGAAUCACAUUUACAGACACAACAGGACGUUCAUGUGCUCUUAGUUUAGAGGAUCUGGAUUGUUUUAUAAAAAAUAUGUCGUCACCAUCAGAAUCUGUUAGCAGCCCUUAACGUUAAAGGCUUCUACUGUUCUUUAUUUAUGAUCAAUAGUACGGAAGUUUAUUUAUAUCAAAACUAGAGUUCAGUCCUUAAUAGUAGUUAAAAAAAAAACAUUUCCAUAAUUUAUUUUUGCUUGACCCUCUGAAACCCAAAACUUCCUGGUGGGUUUGAAAGUCAAGUUUGUUUGUUUGUUUGUUUGUUUUUUAAUUACAAAAAUAACACUAUUAUCAGCCAGAAACUGUGAAAACAGACACAAUCUUCAGAUUUUCAACUUUCAGGGCAUCCUUGAAUUGUCUUUGAUAAGUUUCUGUCAUGAAAAUUAAUCAUAUCUUACCUUAAAAUUAUGAUAUCUUAUCAAAAUCACUUUAUUCUACAUGUCUCAUGUAAAAAUAUGUUUAAAAUAAAUUGUUUGCUCCAGCAAGAAUCUGUAAAAUAACAAAAAUUCUGCUUCUCCAGUGCAAGUGCGAAGCCAUUAGUGACUCAGCUGUGACCAACAGUCACGUGAUUAAAAUUUAGAGACUAUUCGGUUGAACUGCAGGCAGUGUUAACACAGAGCAGAGAGGAGGCAAGUAUGAAAACUAAUUAAAAAUAUAAGAAGUAAAAUCUUUAAUGUGUUGAGUUCACAUUUAUUUUUCCAGUAUUGGUAAGCUGUACAUUUGGGGAUGGAAAAAAAAGUUGAUUCCAGUUUUUUUAUUUUUUUAAAUAAGCAAUAAACUAUAUUGUCUUUUAUUCGUGGCAUUAUAAUUGUGUCAAACUGCACAGGAGAGACUUCUGAGUCCUCUCUAAUUCAAUCAUGGUUGUUCUGUUUCCAUAGAGGUGCAGAACUUUAUACUGCAGUGAAAAAUGAGCCCACAGUCAAUUCAAAUGUGACAUGAACAAAAAAACAUCUUCUCGGGGUUCAGUGGGUUAAACAAGGUGGCUGCAUAGUUUUAGUCGGUCUUCUUGGCCACUAAGGACCUACAAAACCCAACAUUUUUGCGUUACAGUGGAACUAUAUUUUCUGGUUUUGGGGUUUUUUUGAGUGUUAAAAUACUAGUUAAAAUUUCACACAGGCCCUGAAGUCACCUCGAACUGUCUCCAUGAAGGAGAAUCUCCAGUUUGGAGGAGGAGCUCGCUGAAGUCCAAAAAUAAACUGUUUGAGUUCGUUACUGUUGGAAAGACAAAGACUUAUAUCUUCACAUGAGUCAUUUGGGAAUAAGAAGGGCUUUUAUGAACACUGAAAAAUCAAUAAUCAUUGACUGGUUGCAGACUCCCAAUUCUUCUCUGAGGGAAUAAUAAAUAGACCCUUCCCUCAGGUUUUUUGUCUUAAUUACCUCAAAUAAUUGAAGUAAAAUUAAAACAACAAACAGUAAAACACAACUUAAUCUUGAAAUCCAAAACAGGCCACAACAUGAACAAUUAAAAGCGUGACACAGUUCAUGUUCAGUGGUGCAAAUUUCUAACAAAUGCACAAUUCUUGAAAUCUUGUGGAUGUUUGACUACAAGAUUGAGUAUGUUCAUGGGAAACAAAAAUUAUUUUACUACAUUUGGUGUCAGUGUUUUAGCAAAGUAACAAAUAGAUCAAUUAAUAUAAUUUCUUCAUGAAUUAUAAACGUUUAAAGUUUUAACCUGCUGUUAUGAAUAUAAAUGUCAUUUCUAGAAGACAGGUUGACUACAGUUUUGGUAUAAAUAAACUUCAUAUUUAUUACCAGCAGAUAUAAUAAAAUGUUCAAACCACGGUCCUGUCAUCUUUCUGCCACCUUCAGGUGUUAAAAAUGUGAUUCCUCAUGUGAUGAAGUUCAUCUGUUUUAUGAGUUCAGAACUCCACUGCUGAAGUAAAGAUGCUCUGUGAUUGGCUGAAAUCCACCUGGACAGCCAUGUUUAGGAGGGGGGAG